rnacentral:misc_RNA from 1 species
AACUGAUACUACCUGCGGGAACCUGCGGAAGGAUCAUUACCGAGUGAGGGCCCUCUGGGUCCAACCUCCCACCCAUGUUUAUUGUACCUUGUUGCUUCGGCGGGCCCGCCUUUGUGGCCGCCGGGGGGCUCUGCCCCCGGGCCCGCGCCCGCCGAAGACACCUAGAACUCUGUCUGAAGAUUGCAGUCUGAGUGAAAAUAUAAAUUAUUUAAAACUUUUAGCAAUGGAUCUCUAGAUCGG